rnacentral:rRNA from 1 species
AUUGAACGCUGGCGGCAUGCCUUACACAUGCAAGUCGAACGGCAGCACGGGGCAACCUGGUGGCGAGUGGCGAACGGGUGAGUAAUGCAUCGGAACGUACCUUUCAGUGGGGGAUAACGUAGCGAAAGUUACGCUAAUACCGCAUAUUCUGUGAGCAGGAAAGCAGGGGAUCGCAAGACCUUGCGCUGAUUGAGCGGCCGAUGUCAGAUUGGCUAGUUGGUGAGGUAAAGGCUCACCAAGGCGACGAUCUGUAGCGGGUCUGAGAGGAUGAUCCGCCACACUGGAACUGAGACACGGUCCAGACUCCUACGGGAGGCAGCAGUGGGGAAUUUUGGACAAUGGGGGCAACCCUGAUCCAGCCAUGCCGCGUGAGUAAAGAAGGCCUUCGGGUUGUAAAGCUCUUUCGGCCGGGAAGAAAUCGUAUGGGUUAAUACCCUGUGCGGAUGACGGUACCGGCAUAAGAAGCACCGGCUAACUACGUGCCAGCCGCCGCCGUAA